AUCUCAUCAUCGCCUCCAUAUUCAUACGCGUCUUUUGCUUCCUCCCUUCGUCAACGCUUUUCUCAGAUCUUGCUGCUAUGGCGACGAUUCUGAUUCUUUUCGCUUCUAAUUAUCGUAGAGAUCCUCCCGAUCUUCACAACCGUGUCGUGUUUUGAUCGAGAUCUGAUGGUUGAUUCCAUGAUUUGGCGACGGAUCUGACGCAGAUCUAGCUUUUCCUCUCGAUCUGGCUUUGGAUCUUCAUUUGCGGCUUCGUAAGACGAUAGAUCUGUAAAUUGGUCACGUUGAGGCGCAUAGAUCUGGGAUACAAGGAGAUGAAUCUGAAGCAGACGCUAGGGCUUACUCUUUCGUGUUUGGAUUGAAGUGAGUUAGGGUGUAUAAGAUGUUUUGUUGGAUAGCUAUGGCGUCCCGAUCGCAUCUUUGUCAUCCGACCUUUGCCAUGUCAGGUGCGCUUGCAUGGCAGGUCAAAACUGUGCUUAAUAAAAGUUAUUUUGUGGGUUUUGGAGAGGAGAUCGCACGGGUUGUUUAUUUUUUUUCCCGGGAUCUCCUCUCCUCUGUGUGUCUUGCCUCGCUCCCUCUCUCUCUCUCUUCCCUCUUUUACAUCUCUAAUUCGCUAUUGGUCAUAUACUCAAAAAAAAAUCGAUCAGAAACAGAGACUGCGACUUAACUGGAGCCGUGGCUAUAUCAAUCCUACUAGCACAAGAGAGUCAAAUCAGGUACUUAUAUUCAUAUUAAUUAUGAUCCUAAGUUAUUAUUCAAGCCAAAUCAGGUACCCAUAUGCAUAUUAACUUGGAUCGUUAAUUACCAUACAAGUAAAUAAGCAUUUGAAAGGAAAUAUCAACAUGAUUUGACUUUACAACAUGUUAUGCACUUCUUUACAACAUGAUAGUCCGGGGCAACGUUUGAUCAUAUUUAAUCGUUUCAUCAAACAUUACAUUGUUUAAAUGAUAUUUUAGUUACUUGUAUAAUGUAAUUAAGUUUUUGUAUUAAGGUUUUUCAAUAAUCUGUCGUCAGUUUUAGAAUUUGUAUUUAGCUAAGUUUGUUAUAUCUGUCUGUAACGAUAUCCUUUCUGUUGAAGUAUGAAGCUCGUUGACAGGAAAAUUGAAGUUUUGGCCAACAUAUAGAUUUCACAAUCCAGCCAUUCUCGUAUAUUAUUUUGUGUUAAAGGUAUAAAUUUUUGGUAAUAGACUUAAAUAGAGUAAAAUGUGUACAUUAAUUUUUGAGGAAUAAAAUAUAUUGUUUAUUUAGUUUUU